rnacentral:piRNA from 1 species
UGAGGCCAACGUCACCAAAGUUAGAUUGU